CUCCAAAUCAAGACUUCCCAAGAAUAAGCUAGCAUCUGGACUAAAUCCACUGGAUAGAUCGAUCGACUAGCUUGUACUCAUACAAGAACAUUUUUGCAACCUGAAUACGAAUGGAAAAAGCAUGGUGAUAAUGCAAAUUCACAAGCCCUGUUUAGCAACACAUUCAUCUGUCCAUGUUCACUCCAUGACUAAUAGCACUACUAAAAUCACCAGGGUGCAGCAGAUUCGGCUCGCCUAAGAUUACGGAAGCACCAUCCGUACUUGCGCUCUAUUCCUUAGCACCAAGUUCUCUGUCACUGCACAAAGUAAGAGAAGUGGCCCCAAAAUCAGUUCACCUACUUCACCAGAACUAAGAAACAAAUAGAAAUCCAAGAGGAUCAACCUGCAACAUUACUAGCAGCAUCGGCGGUACAAGAAGCCCGCUGGAGUGAAGAGGGCAGCUCCCGCAUCAUCAGUCCGCUAGUGCAAGGGGGAAAUCAGCAGGUCACAAAGAGGGCGGCU
rnacentral:lncRNA from 1 species